UGCUGUUCGAGCACGCCCGAAGGCGGAACCAGAGUGUCGUCAUGCAACUGUUCCUUGGUUGUUUCCGAUUGGUUACCCGGACUUCUCGCGGUUAAACUAACUGGCUCCAAGGCGGCGUGAACAGUGUGAUUUUGUUCAGCGACCGUGAUUUUGUUCAGCGACGGUGAUUUUGUUCAGCGACCGUGAUUUUGUUCAGCGACCAUGAUGCUUGAGCCCCUAAUUGAGAGUCUGUUACCACUAUUAAUAGGUACUCUUUUCGGGCCCUACACAUAACGGUACAUCUAAACCUCUCUACAAUUUUAUGGGCAUGUCUUUAUCAGCAGCAUGAAAAAGGACUAAUACAGUAAAUUGGUACCAGUAGAGUGGGGCAUUGCUGAAAAGAUACCUGAAAAUGUGGAAGCAACUUUGGAACUGGGUAACAGGCAGAGGUUGGAACAGUUUGGAGGGCUCAGAAGAAGACAGGAAAAUGUGGGAAAGUUUGGAACUUCCUAGAGACUUGUUGAAUGGCUUUGACCGAAAGCCUGAAGCAGUAUGGACAAUAAGGUCCAGGCUGAGGUGGUCUCAGAUGGAGAUGAGGAAUUUGUUGGGAACUAGAAUAAAGACGACUCUUGUUAUGUUUUAGCAGAGACUGGUGGCAUUUUGCCCCUGCCCUAGAGAUUUGAGGAACUUUAAACUUGAGAGAGAUGAUUUAGGGUAUCUGGAGGAAGAAAUUUCUUUCUUUUUUUUUUUUUUUUUUCCCGAGAUGGAGUCUUGCUCUGUCGCCGAGGCUGGAGUGCAGUGGCGCAAUCUCAGCUCACUGCAACCUCUGCCUCCCGGGUUUAAGCAGUUCUCCUACCUCAGCCUCCAGAGUAGCUGGGAUUACAGGUGUGUACCACCACACCCAGCUAAUUUUUGUAUUUUUAGUAGAGAUGGGGUUUCACCAUGUUGGCCAGGCUGGUCUUGAGCUCCUGACAUCAGGUGAUCCUCCUGCCUCAGCCUCCCAAAGUGCUGGGAUUACAGGCACGAGCCACCGCACUGGCAGAGGAAGAAAUUUCUAAGCAGCAAAGCAUUAUUCAAGAGGUGACUUGAGUGCUGUUAAAGGCAUUCAGUUUUAUAAGGGAAGCAGAGCAUAAACAUUUGGAAAAUUUGCAGCCUGACAAUGUGAUAGAAAAGAAAAACCCAUUUUCUGAGGAGAAAUUCAAGCUGGCUGCAGAAAUUUGCACAAGUAAGGAGGAGCCAAAUUUAAGCCCCAAGACAAUGGAGAAAAUGUCUCCAGGGCAUGUUGGAGGUCUUCACGGCAUCCCCUCCCGUCACAGGCCUAGAGGCCUAGGAGAAAAUGGUUUUGUUGACCAGGCCCAGGUCCCUGUGCUGUGUGUAGCCCAGGGACUUGGUGCCCUGUGUCCCAGCUGCUCCAGCUGUGGCUAAAAGGUGCCAACAUAGAGUUUGGGCUCUGGCUUCAGAGGGUGCAAGCCCCAAGUCUUGGCAGCUUCCAUGUGGUGUUGAGUCUGCAAGUCAGGAAUUGGGGUUUGGGAACCUCUGUGUAGAUUUCAGAAAAUAUAUGGAAACACCUGGAUGCCCAGGCAGAAGUUUGCUGCAGGGUUGAUGCCCUCAUGGAGAACCUCUGCAUGGUUCAGGACAGUGCAGAAGGGAAAUGUGGGGUCAGAGCCCCCACACAGAGUUCCUACUGGGGCAUCACCAAGUGGAGCCUUGAGGAGAGGGCCACCGUCCUCCAGACCCCAGAAUGGUAGACCCACCAACAGCUUGCACUGUGCACCUGGAAAAGCCACAAACACUCAACACCAGCCUGUGAAAGCAACUGGAGGAAGGGAGGCUGUACCCUGCAAAGCCACAGGGGUGGAGCUGCCCAAGACCGUGGGAAUCCACCUCUUGCAUCAGCGUGACCUGGAUGUGAGACCUGGAGUCAAAGGAUAUCAUUUUGGAACUUUAAAAUUUGACUGCCCUACUGGAUUUUGGACUUGCAAGGGCCCUGUAACCCCUUUGUUUUGGCCAAUUUCUCCCAUUUGGAAUGGCUGUAUUUACCUAAUACUAGUAUACCCAUUGUAUCUAGAAAGUUAACUAGCUUGCUUUUGAUUUUACAGGCUCAUAGGCGAAAGAGACUUGCCUUGUCUCAGAUGAGACUUUGGACUGUGGACUUUUGGGUUAAUGCUGAAAUGAGUUAAGACUUUGAGGGACUGUUGGCAAGGGAUGAUUAGUUUUGAAAUGUGAGAACAUGAGAUUUGGAGGGGCCAGGGGUGGAAUGAUAUGGUUUGGCUGUGUCCCCACCCAAAUCUCAUCUUGAAUUGUACUCCCAUAAUUCCCACAUGUUUUGGGAGGGACCUGGUGGGAGAUAAUUUGAAUCAUGGUCGGGGGAUCUUUAUCAGCAGUGUGAAAACGGGCUAAUACAAUCUUCUAUGGAAAAAGCACACAUUCCUGCUCCAUUGAUGUUGCUCUUCGAUAUGUGGCUUGUUUUGGCCAAUGGCAGGUGAGCGGAUGUGACUUACAUUAUGUUGAAAUAAAAGUGUUGAUUGUU